GACGUAGGGCGCGAGCGUUGUCCGGAUUUAUUGGGCGUAAAGAGCUCGUAGGCGGCUUGUCGCGUCGACUGUGAAAUCCCGCGGCUCAACUGCGGGUCUGCAGUCGAUACGGGCAGGCUAGAGUUCGGUAGGGGAGACUGGAAUUCCUGGUGUAGCGGUGAAAUGCGCAGAUAUCAGGAGGAACACCGAUGGCGAAGGCAGGUCUCUGGGCCGAUACUGACGCUGAGGCGCGAAGGCGUGGGGAGCGAACGGG
rnacentral:rRNA from 1 species